UACGUAGGGUGCAAGCGUUGUCCGGAAUUAUUGGGCGUAAAGAGCUCGUAGGCGGCUUGUCACGUCGACUGUGAAAACCCGGGGCUCAACUCCGGGCCUGCGGUCGAUACGGGCAGGCUAGAGUUCGGUAGGGGAGACUGGAAUUCCUGGUGUAGCGGUGAAAUGCGCAGAUAUCAGGAGGAACACCGGUGGCGAAGGCGGGUCUCUGGGCCGAUACUGACGCUGAGGAGCGAAAAGCGUGGGGGAGCGAACAGG
rnacentral:rRNA from 1 species